CUAAGGAACCGAAAGGUUGGUAGAGGAGCAUUGCAUGCGGGAAGAAGCAGUACCGAAAGGAGCUGUGGACUGCAUGGAAGAGAGAAUGCCGGAAUGAGUAGCGAGAAUAAGGUGAGAAUCCUUAUGGCCGAAUAUCCAAGGUUUCCAGAGUAAAGCUGAUCUGCUCUGGGUAAGUCGGGGCCUAAGGCGAGGACGAGAGUCGUAGCCGAUGGACAACAGGUGGAGAUUCCUGUACUGCGGUAUGACAGAACUGUGGGGACACGUAAGGAAAGCGGAAGCCGGGAAUGGAAAGCCCGGUGCAAGCGGGGUACCAGUCACUUUGGCAAAUCCGGGUGGCAAUGGGAAGCCGUGAUGCGGAGCGAAAUAAAGUAGCGAAGUCCGUGAGCCAUGCGUCAAGAAAAGCCGCUAUCGUUUAUACCGUACCCGUACCGUAAACCGACACAGGUGGAUGAGGAGAGAAUCCUAAGGCCGGCGGAAGAAGCAUUGUCAAGGAACUCGGCAAAAUGGCCCCGUAACUUAGGGAUAAGGGGUGCCUGGGAAACCAGGCCGCAGAGAAUAGGCUCAAGCAACUGUUUAGCAAAAACACAGGUCUAUGCGAAACCGAAAGGUGAGGUAUAUGGGCUGACGCCUGCCCGGUGCUGGAAGGUUAAGAGGAGAGGUUAGCGGUAACGCGAAGCUUUGAAUUUAAGCCCCAGUAAACGGCGGCCGUAACUAUAACGGUCCUAAGGUAGCGAAAUUCCU
rnacentral:rRNA from 1 species